AAGUUGGAAACCCUAGCUGCUCUCCCACUCCCACCCAGUUGACAGCCGCAUCCCAACGCCACAUCCACCCAAAGAAGGUCACCGGUGCCAUCCUCUCUGCGCUCCUGACGAGUGAUGACCCGACUCGUCUCUAUGGCAGUGACGCCGCGCUCUCUCUGCGACAGCGGCACCAGCACAUGACUCCUCUCCACACCCCAUCGCCGACUUCCCCGCACAGCCAUCACAGACUCACGAUUAGAGAUGGCAGUGGGGACCCGAUCCCCAAUUCUCCGCGGGGAAUUCCUCUAUUAGGGAACGAGUAUAGAACUAAUUUAGUCCCCACGGGGAUCUAAAUGAGGGAAAUUUAAUCCCUGUCGGGUUCGUGGGGACGGAACCAUCCCCGUUCCCCGUGUACCCGCUCCACGAAACUUUUUUUAUCCAAGUUAGUCAAUUUAUUUGUUAAAAUUAUAGUAAAAACUUAGUGCAUGGCAUGUUAUAAAAUAGCAAACUAAACUCUAAAGUAGAUGUCUUUUGUAAUUUUUAAUCUUGUUUGUUAAAUUUAUAUUAAUUUGAUAUAAUCAAUUUAAAUUUAUUUUUAAAUAUUGUACUUCUAGCGAGGACAGAUUCCUUACGGGGAUGGGGAAUUUUUCUCCCAGCGAGCGAGGAUGGGGAUAGGGAGCCAUUCCCUGACGAGGAAAUCCCCGUUGCCAUCCCUACUCACGAUCCUCUAGGCAGGCGUCGGCUGACCUCUCCAUCUGUUGUGGCCUGUUCGUGUGACGGUGUAAACCCAUCGACUGAUCUGUGUCAGAUCUCCAUCGAGACUAACGGGAGGGAUUUCAUCUUGACCAGGUGCAAGGACGUCCAAUUGUUCUUAUCACUGGAAACUCUAUGAACAUGUAUGUGUAAGAAAAUUGUAUGUUCUCAUCAAAACAGUCUGGACAUUGUAUGGUUGUUCGUAAGAAAACUGUAUGUGUUUGGAAAAUGUAUGGUUAUUUCUAAGGAAACUGAAUCUAUUAUUCUAUAACGAAUUGAAUGUUUGUUGGAAUUUA